AGAAGCUUGCUUCUCGCUGACGAGCGGCGGACGGGUGAGUAAUGCGUAGGAAUCUACCCUUUUGUGGGGGAUAGCCCGGAGAAAUCCGGAUUAAUACCGCAUAAGCUCUUCGGAGGAAAGUGGGGGAUCUUCGGACCUCACGCUGAAGGAUGAGCCUACGUUGGAUUAGCUUGUUGGUGGGGUAAAGGCCUACCAAGGCGACGAUCCACAGCUGGUCUGAGAGGAUGAUCAGCCACACCGGGACUGAGACACGGCCCGGACUCCUACGGGAGGCAGCAGUGGGGAAUAUUGGACAAUGGGCGCAAGCCUGAUCCAGCCAUGCCGCGUGUGUGAAGAAGGCUCUAGGGUUGUAAAGCACUUUAAGCAGGGAAGAAACGCUGUUGGUUAAUAACCAUCAGUACUGACGGUACCUGCAGAAUAAGCACCGGCUAACUCCGUGCCAGCAGCCGCGGUAAUACGGAGGGUGCAAGCGUUAAUCGGAUUUACUGGGCGUAAAGCGUGCGUAGGCGGCUACGUAAGUCAGUUGUGAAAGCCCCGGGCUUAACCUGGGAACUGCAAUUGAUACUGCGUGGCUAGAAUUCGGUAGAGGAAGGUGGAACUCCAGGUGUAGCGGUGAAAUGCGUAGAUAUCUGGAAGAACAUCAAUGGCGA
rnacentral:rRNA from 1 species